rnacentral:lncRNA from 1 species
AGGCUUACCAAGAGCACUUUCACUGUUACAAGUGGAAGCCGCACAAAUAAACACCAAGGGAGACAGGGAGAUCCAGUGUGCCACAUCUAGCCACUAUGCCUGCACCUAUCUUUCAAGAUCUUCUUUAAAAAGGAGUCAUUUCCUAUGGGACUGUUAGAAACAGACUGCAGAACCAGAAUAACUCUUGGCACCAGUAUCUUGGCAAUCUUUCUUCGGACUACCUACAUGAAUAUGUGGAAAUAUUAUACGCCCGUUUUUGUCUGGAAAACUGCAUGGUACCAUUGCAGAAAACAAAUAAAUAACUUUUAAAUAAUCAGUAAAAUUGCCUGCAGUAUAGCCACAACAAGUGGAAGGGAUUACUAUGUUCGCACUGAAAAGGAAGACACAAAGUAUAUCAGUUUCAUGGUUAUUAACAACAUAGAGAUUUCAAUAUAAAGUUAAUCGACUGUUGAACACCUCAUGUUUUGUAACAAAUCCAGCCACAGUUCAAGGACAGGAGUGAGUCACCAUUAAUCUAAAUGAAUCCAGGUCCUAUACUUAUGAAAAGUAGAAGAAUUACAGAGGGUGGCCUGGUUAACAAAGAUGCAGAAUAUUUCCACUGUGGUCUCUACGAAGAAGUUCUAAAAUUGUCUGUAAGUUUUCCAGUGUUGUUGUUGUUGCUGUUGUUGUUCUGUUUUGUUUUUCAUUUUUUCUUUUAUUGGUGCUAGUUAGUUCCAAAUUCCUCCCUUAUUUUCCUCUUUACGGGUGUGGACACUUUUACUUUUUAUGUCUACAUUAACAUGACCUCAGCCUGACAGUACAUUAUGGGAAGCUGGAAUAUUUAUUGGCAGAAGAGAACCUCUUGGAAAAAGAGCUGGGUAGUGGUAGUUGGAGAAUGAGUCAGUGUCUGGAGUCCAGCUGUGCAUUCCGCACAAGCCUGACUGUAGCUGAGCUACUCAGAUCUGUUCAACUGCUUGAAACUGGUUUUUAAAGAAAGGAAUAGAUUUCAUGUAUCCUGAAUACAUUUUUGGCUAAGAACAC